CCUGAACAGAGAUUUUUUUUUUUUGCCAGUAAUAUGGUCCCUUUGAGGGGUUUCCCUGGUAGCUCAGCUGGUAAAGAAUCCACCUGCAAUGCGGGAGACCUGGGCUUGAUCCCUGGGUUGGAAAGAUCCCCUGGAGAAGGAAAUGGCUACUCACUCCAGUAUUCUGGCCUGGAGAAUUCCAUGGACCGUAUAGGGAUCUCGGGAUCGAGACUGAGUGACUUUCACUUUCACUAUGGUCCCUUUGUACUUUACUGAAGUUAGCCCUAGAUGAAUCUAGGAAGCAGGGGAUCUAGUACAGGGACUGGAGGUUGAAGAAAGGGGAUGGGGAACAUUUUGAUCAUGCAAUGCGAUUCUCUAGAAGGGCUCUGAUAGCACCAUUGUCAUUAUCACAUUGGCUCCUGUCUACUUCAUGACCAUUUGCAAUAUUUAUUGAGCACCUACUCUGUGCCAGUUCCUAAGGAUGCAGUGGUAAGCAAAACAGAGCCCAUGCUCUUCUGUGGAAUUUUUAGUAUGGAGAUGAGACAGACUAUAAACAAGUGUUAAGCAAAUAAAUAUGUAACUACAUACUUUGUAAGUUUUAUGAAGAAAUGGAUCAUGGUGCUGGAACAGAGAAGCCUGUGAGGAGAAGGGGAUGCGUUUUAGAUGAGGUGGUUGGGGAAAGCUGCUUUGAUGUGAUCUUAUGUUUUUAACAAUAUUCAUUUAUUUGGCUAUGCCAGGUCUUAGUUGCAGCAUGCAGGAUCUAGUUCCCUGACCAGAGAUCGAACCUGGGCCCCCUGCACUGAGAGCAUGGAAUCUUAACCACUGGACCACCAGCACUAUUUCUGGAAGAGAAGGGGAGAAGCUUCAGACCUUGAUUGGAAAAGAAAGAUCGACAGGAGGAAGGACUUCCCCAGGGGGAAUGACCCUGGAGUCCUAGGCUCUAUCUACAGAAGACAGAACAAAUAAAAAUGCACCACAGCUGUUACUAGCGUGAACAUAACAUAAUAGACCUCAG
ensembl:lncRNA